UUCGCAAUGCCCGAAAGGGUGACGAAGCGACGCCGCGUGGGUGAGGAAGGCCUUCGGGUUGUAAAGCCCUGUCAGGAGUUAAGAAAUGUAAGUGCGCUAAUAUCGCAUUUACUUGACGAAGGCUCCAAAGGAAGCCACGGCUAACUCUGUGCCAGCAGCCGCGGUAAUACAGAGGUGGCAAGCGUUGUUCGGAAUUAUUGGGCGUAAAGAGCACGUAGGUGGGUUUGUAAGUCAGAUGUGAAAGCCUUCUGUUCAACGGGAGAAUUGCAUCUGAAGCUGCAAAUCUUGAGUAUAGGAGGGGAGAAUGGAACUUCUGGUGGAGCGGUGAAAUGCGUAGAUAUCAGAAGGAACGCCGGCGGCGAAAGCGAUUCUCUGGUCUAUUACUGACACUCAGUGUGCGAAAGCUAGGGGAGCAAACGGGAUUAGAUACCCCGGUAGUCCUAGCUGUAAACGAUGGGCACUAAGUAGAGGGGUUUU
rnacentral:rRNA from 1 species